CUAGCUUCUUCAUCAGGCUCAACAUAUUCAGUUUCAAUAAGGUUUUCAACUCCCAAGCAGUCUAUUUAGUAGACAAAUAUUAGUUUGUAAUAAUUAUAAGAUAUCCUAAAAUAAACAUAGAACCGUAAAUGCAUUAAUGUGUACCAUCCAUAUUUGUUGUGUUGCCAUCGGGCUCUAGUAUUCCAUAUGCAUCAUCGUCGUGGUCGUUGCCUGACAACAUAUGUUGCAAAAUGGGCAAGUAUCAGCGAUGAAUGAAAGGUAUGAACCAAGAAGUAGUCAAUGAAAGCACCAUUAUAAUUGUUGACUUGAUUGUGUCCACGUGACGACGCAGUGACUAUGUUGUCUCGCCUCAUCCUCCUUCCAAUGGUUUGUCUCAGGCUUGAAGUGGCGGUCGUAACACAGUCAGUUGGGAGGACUCAAUGGCAGAGUUCAUAUUAUUAACAUUUUCCUUGUUAGAGACGACAGUAUCUGGUGUUGUUAGUGAACAUGGACCAUGAAGUGGAGUCUGAUCACUCAUUACCACAUCAACAGGUCCUGAAAGGGAGUACGUACCCCACUACGCUGAGAUCCGGACAUACUGUCUUCUCAAUGGCUCCUGUUCUGAAACACUUCACGAACCCUGCCUGAACUCAGUGUGCUAUGCAAAUUAUGAUGUACUGUUCGGCAGUAGUCAUAUGUACUGGAGAUGUUGCUGGCUACAGGGGUGAUGACACCGGAGGUAAGGCAGUGCGCCGGGUCGAGGACGUCGCUGACACCGGGGGCGAGGGCGGCGUAUU